UGUAUUAGCUCAUCUGAUCUCUGGAUCAUCUGACUGGUUACCCACUGAAGCUAAGCAGGGUUGAGCCUGGUCAGUACCGGGAUGGGAGACCUCCUGGGAAAACUAGGUUGCUGCUGGAA
rnacentral:rRNA from 1 species